CACGCCUCUCUUUGCAUCCCUCCACUGGUUCCCUUUUCUCUAUCACAUCAAACAUUAACUGCUGGGCUUCACUUUCCAGGCCCUUCACAGUCUAUCCCUACCCUACCUAUCAUCUCACAUUCACUAUUGAAAUGUCAACUCCAGCUUCCAAUUGGCCAGUGAUUACUGAUUUGCUAAAUUUUCAAACAAGCACUUUCAUACUUUCUCCCAUGCUGUCCCUCAUGCUUGGAAGGAGCUCCUCAUAAACAUCCACAAAACUAACUCAUCAUCUUUGUAAUGGGGUGGACUUGAAGGUUUGCCUACAGACAACCCAGGGGUUGCUGCAAGAAGAGAAAUGCCAAAGGCUAUGUCUUGAUGCUAGGUUGGAGCUUGCAGAAACCGAGAAGAGCUAUGUCAAAGAACACAUACGUAAAGAAGCUGAGCGGAACAAAGGCCUGGUAAAGGAGAUUUUCGUCUGGAGGACAGAUAGAAGGAAGCAAGAUAUCUGUUCAUGCUACAGAAGAAUAGUCUUCCCCUGCCACCCCCCAAUCCCAUCCCACUACAAGAAGAAAUCGGAACAGGCCAUAGCUGGAGUUAGGGAUGAUUCAGCGUACCCUUCAGCAACAGGUUGCUGAGUUGGCCAGUGAGGUUGAUAGAAGACACAUAUUUGCAGAAGCACAUGGGGCAUUGAGAAAACAACUCCAGAACCUAAUAGAAAUACACGACCAUGGCACUGAAAAGCAUGUAGAAAUGUGUGACAAGGAACCAAGCACAGGGACGACAGAGCAAGAAACUUGUGUUAGCACAGGCAAAUUAAUUAGCAAGGAAUAUUGCUAAACAGGGUCCCUGGGCUAGAAUCCUUAUCACUCCCCCCAGACCAAUAGGGGAAGUUCAGGCAUCAAGAGUAAAAAAAGUCAAGAACUAUGAGUUCCAAAUAGAAGCCAAGGAAUGGGCUUAGAGGCCAUUAGACUUUUGGGUUUUCUUGUUUUGGACUUUUCUGCUAACCCUGGAAGCAAAAUGGAUUGAGAGGUGACCUGGUUAGAGGAUGGAUAAAGGGGGCCUUAGACUGAAAGAACACCUGCAACACCCUAUCUUGACAGGAGGGUUGCUCUGGAGGUGAGAGGCUCAACUGCACUCCUUCAAAACCCUCCUUUGCUGUGAGGUCUACAAAAAAAAUGACAACAGUUAAGUCACUGGUGCUCUGGUACCUUGUAUUCUUGCAUCUCAGUGUCUAUCUAUCUGUUAUCCCUUGCCUUAUACUUAGAUUGUAAGCUGCUUUGGGCAGAGACAGUCUUUUAGUUCUGUGUUUGUACAGAGCCAUGGUGCAUGAUGGAGACUCUUAGGUGCAAUGGUAGUACAAAUUAAUUAUUAUUGUGCUAGUGUAGUGCCUAGAAAGCUCAGUCAGAAUGGGAUAAUUUGUCCUGGCUUCUGUACAAACAAAUAGACCUUACAAGCUAAAAUUGUCAUAUCUACCUACUAUGGGUCAUUUUAAAAUUUUUUACUCCCCUGUGGAUUGAAAUGAGUCUAACAACAACUUGAAAGAAUUAUUCACAAAUACUCUAGAAUGAACCAACCUUUAGCAAUGAACUUUGUGUCUCUUUGUGAUCUAUGCUGUAUUUUUGUGUGGUGUACACAUUUACAUUGGCUUGUGGAGUUUGUGCUCGUUUCUUUGUAGGCCUUGCAGACAUUGGUAAGAGUAUAGUGAUCUCCUGUGCGGUGGAAGAUUUUUUGCCAGCAGGUAAGAGUAACCUCCUCUGUUCCAGGGGAUGGAUGAUAGGUGCUUUUAGAAAAGGGGAAAACAAAUCAAGCCAACAAUAAUCCAAACCACUAGGUGCCUGUCACAAUGUACAGUGGGCAACAAGUCCAUUAACUUUUUUCUGAUAGUACCCUCCACACUGGCCUCCAGUCUGGGAUCUCUUGUGGUGCCUGACAGUGAAGAGAGGAAUAGGAAUAUUCCUUCACCCCUUCAUUCAUUUUUUGCUUGCUUCCUUUUCAGUGGAAGUGGACAAAAGAUACUGGGACGAUUCCAAGAAGAGGAUUGAACGCAGGGAGAAGCCAACGAAGAGGAAAGCCAAGGGCAAGCUCUUACAGAGCUGCCAACUUUCCCAGUUUUUUUGUGAACCUUGUGAUUGUAUUUGUUUUUUUAAUAACUGCUCAAGUGUCGGAAGAAAGAUGAGGAUGAUCUUACGCUCACCAAAAAUGGCUGCCCUUCGCUAUUGUUUCCACAGAACUGAAGCACAGGCUGCUCUCACCACAGACAGCUGCCAUCUCCCUAUAGCCUUUGCAGAUUAUGCCAUAAUAAGUAGCUAUUCUGAUUCCUGCAACAAGACUGGAGAACAGGAAUUACUCUGUCAACAAAUGCAGGUACUGAUGGUGGUUCCAUCCUUCAAGUGACAUGCUAAGGAAACAUGACUCAAAGACGACAGGAGACAGCAGUGUGUACAAGCAGACAGCAAUGCGGCUGGCACUACAUGUAGCUGAUGAGAUGGAUGUCAAUACUUGCCAUGAAGUGGGUUAUGUUGUCCCAUUUGAGAGCUGCUGUACCACUGAAACAGUUCAGAGGUCUGAGGAUUUGUCUUUAAUCCCUCUAACAUUGUAUGAAUGUCAUUCCUUGAAAUGAAGCACUAGACCUAGGUAAAUGGCAGCUCUGGAAUCCUUUGCCAAUCACUGAACUGUAGCACAACUCACCAAAACAAAAACAAAACAAAACAAAAAAAACCCCAAAACCCACACACAAUCCAAACAC